UACGAAGGGGGCUAGCGUUGCUCGGAAUCACUGGGCGUACAGCGCACGUAGGCGGAUCUUUAAGUCAGGGGUGAAAUCCCGGAGCUCAACUCCGGAACUGCCUUUGAUACUGGGGAUCUUGAGUCCGGGAGAGGUGAGUGGAACUCCGAGUGUAGAGGUGAAAUUCGUAGAUAUUCGGAAGAACACCAGUGGCGAAGGCGGCUCACUGGCCCGGUACUGACGCUGAGGUGCGAAAGCGCGGGGAGCAAACAGG
rnacentral:rRNA from 1 species